rnacentral:rRNA from 1 species
AGCAGCCGCGGUAAUUCCAGCUCCAAUAGCGUAUAUUAAAGUUGCUGCAGUUAAAAAGCUCGUAGUUGAAUUUCGGGACUAAUAUGUCGGUCGUGCCUCGGUACGUACUGGUAUUUUUGGUUUCUCCCUUCUGACGAACCUUGAUGUCAUUAAUUUGGUGUCUUGGGGAAUCAGGACCGUUACUUUGAAAAUUAGAGUGUUUAAAGCAGGCUCACGCUUGAAUACAUUAGCAUGGAAUAAUGAAAUAGGACGUUUGAUUCUAUUUUGUUGGUUUCUAGGAUUGACGUAAUGAUUAAUAGGGAUAGUUGGGGGCAUUAGUAUUCAAUUGUCAGAGGUGAAAUUUCUUGGAUUUUUAUUGAAGACUAACUACUGCGAAAGCAUUUUGCCAAGGAUGUUUUUUCAUUAAUCAAGAACGAAAGUUUAGGGGAUUCGAAGACGAUCAGAUACCGUCGUAGUCUUAAACCCAUAAACUAUGCCCGACUAGGAUCGGAUGAUGUAAUUUUUAAACUGACUCAUUCGG